rnacentral:RNase_P_RNA from 1 species
CCGGCAAGCUUUUCUGUCGCGCCGCCUUCGGGCGGUGAGGAAAGUCCGGACAGCGCAGAGCGCCUCCCUGUGGAAAGCACAGAUAGGUGAAAGUUUAUGGAGCGCGUAACAGAAAACAACCGCCGGUUUGGCCCGGACUUGUUCCGGGGCCGGCAAGGGUGAAAACGCGGGGUAAGAGCCCACGACCGGCGGCGGCGACGCCGUCGGGGUACGCACCGGAGGGCUGCAAGGCCAAAUAUAUCGGCGUCUGAGGGCUGCUCGCCUGAGCCGAGGGGUAGGCUGCAUCAGAUAAAUGACAGAAGCCCGCUUGCGGGUACAGAAUCCGGCUUACCGGCUUGCCUUUUUU